CGGGCAGCGCCGAGUGCGGCGGGGCCCGAGGAUGGUGCGGUGAUGGGGACCGCCGGGCUGCCGGGCUGGGGGUGCUGCUGGGUCCCUCUUCCUCUUUGCUUUCGGUUUCGAAGCGGCUGCCCCGGCUGGAGAGCGAGCCGCAGAUUAGAAGGAGGAGCAGCUCCUUCCUCAUUCACUUAACUGAUACAUAAGCAAGCGGAUUCUUGCAAAAACUUCUCUGCUUUACUUGGACACAGUGGGGCAUAAAAAAGAAGGCUCGUGCCCUCUUGGUAUCGUUAAGGAGCCUACGAUAGAGUCGGGAUACCAAACUUGGACCCACUGAAAGGUAAAGGGCAGAUAAGUUGUCAACGCUGUGACCCCACUGGGC
rnacentral:lncRNA from 1 species